rnacentral:rRNA from 1 species
CGCUAUCACUCCUACGAGGCAGCAGUGAGGAAUAUUGGUCAAUGGGUCGCAAGACUGAACCAGCCAUGCCGCGUGCAGGAAGACGGUCCUAUGGAUUGUAAACUGCUUUUAUACAGGAAGAAACCCUCCCACGUGUGGGAGCUUGACGGUACUGUAGGAAUAAGGAUCGGCUAACUCCGUGCCAGCAGCCGCGGUAAUACGGAGGAUCCAAGCGUUAUCCGGAAUCAUUGGGUUUAAAGGGUCCGUAGGCGGCCUUAUAAGUCAGUGGUGAAAGCCCAUCGCUCAACGAUGGAACUGCCAUUGAUACUGUAAGGCUUGAAUUAUUGUGAAGUAACUAGAAUAUGUAGUGUAGCGGUGAAAAUGCUUAGAUAUUACAUGGAAUACCAAUUGCGAAGGCAGGUUACUAACAAUGGAUUGACGCUGAUGGACGAAAGCGUGGGGAGCGAACAGGAUUAGAUACCCUGGUAG